GUGGAACUCUGUGACAAGCUCAAACACUACACAACAAUACAACUCCAAGUAAUGUGCCUAUUAGUAUAUCACCGAGCACCCUAACUAUAAAACACAGUGUAAUGUGCAUUUUAUAUACCAGAGCUCUACUGUAAUACAUCUCACUAUAAUAUGUUGUAAUGUUUGUGUUGUCUGUGUAUGUGAUAGGUAUGCUAUGUGUUGGCUGUGUAUGAUAUUUGUAAUGGGUGGAUUAACUGUGUGUGAUAUGCGUGUGUUUGUUGUAGGUGAUAUUUUUUCUGGGUUUAUUGGCUGUGUGUGAUGGAUAUUUAAU